rnacentral:rRNA from 1 species
UACGAAGGGUGCAAACGUUAUUCGGAAUCACUGGGCGUAAAGGGUGCGUAGACGGUAUGUUAAGUUCGUCGUUAAAGGCUCCGGCCUAACCGGAGUACCGCGAUGAAAACUGGCGUGCUAGAGGGUGAGAGAGAGAAGUGGAAUUCCUGGAGUAGCGGUAAAAUGCGUGGAUCCCAGGAGGAACACCAAUGGCGAAGGCAGCUUCUUGGCUCAUUCCUGACGUUGAGGCACGAAAGCGUGGGGAGCAAACAGG